UAAAACCCAAACCCAUCCGGACUCUUCGAGAGAGAGAGACGAAAAAUAAACGCAAGUAUUUCUGAGUCUCCCUCUCCCUCCCUCCCCCGAUGCCGCCCAUCUCCCUCCUCCCCCUCCUCCUCCUCCUCGCCGGCGCGGCGGCGGCGGCGCCGGCCGAUUCCCCGACCCCACCGCCUCCCGCGGCGAAGAACAAGACCAUCUACGAGCUCCUCCCGCUCUUCGGCCUCCCCGCGGGCGUCUUCCCGGCCAACGUCACCGCCUUCUCGCUCGCCGGCAACGGCAGCCUCGCCGUGGACCUCGCGGGGCCCUGCUACGUCCACUUCGAGUACCUCACCUACUUCGAGCCCCGCGUCACGGGCGUGCUCCGCUACGGCUCCCUCACCGAGCUGGAGGGCGUGCAGGUCCGCCGCUUCCUCGUCUGGUUCAGCGUCGUCCGCGUCAAGGUCGACCUGCCCCCGCCCCCGCGCUUCGUCUACCUCGACAUCGGCUGGAUCACCCGCAAGCUCCCCGCCGCCGACUUCCAGUCCGUCCAUGCCUGCGAGGCCGGCAAGCGGAGGAGGAGGUGCCGCCUCUCCUCCGCGCUCGCCGCCGCCGCCGCUUGGUUCCAGGCACUGUGUAUUCCUGUUCGGGAAACAAGCUGAUAGUUGCCUCAUGUGUUCAAGUUUUACAUGGAAAACGAAAGAUGGGGCAUAUUUAAUUGCAGACUAGCAUGACUUCUUUGCCCAAUUUUAGAGGAUGCAGAAGGUCUAAUUUUGUGGCAGCAUCACACGAGCUUACAGCCUUCCGCGUCCUAAAGAAAUUGAAGCACUACACUCCCAUUUGUUGAUUGUUACACACAUUGUAUGUCUCUGCGGGUACUCGACGCUGCUGUCUGAGCUCUACAUUUGUUCGAGAGACGCACGAUCUUUAAGAAAGAUUUGUAUUGGUUAUUUUAGUUCAAACUGUUGAUGCUGUGCUCCACGCUUCAAUACAAUAGCACUUCUGUAGUGGCAUGUAUCAUCAUUUUGUUGGAACUCUAACAAGUCUCCACAGAAGUUUCCUC